ensembl:lncRNA
GUGCUGAGAUGAUAUGAUGGGGAUGAUAACGUGGAGGACUGGGACACUGAGGUAGGGACCUCACAUGUGCUGAGAUGAUAUGAUGGGGAUGAUACACACUUACUGACUGGGACACUGAGGUAGGGACUUCACGUGUGCUGAGAUGAUAUGAUGGGGAUGAUAACGUGGAGGACUGGGACACUGAGGUAGGGACCUCACAUGUGCUGAGAUGAUAUGAUGGGGAUGAUAACGGCGAACAGGUGGACCGGACCUGAGGUAGGGACUUCACAUGUGCUGAGAUGAUAUGAUGGGGAUGAUAACGUGGAGGACUGGGACACUGAUGUAGGGACCUCACGUGUGCUGAGAUGAUAUGAUGGGGAUGAUAACGGCGAACAGGUGGACCGGACCAUGUGUCCGUCUAUCUGUCUGGCUGUUCGUUGAGGUACGCGUGGACCAUAUGCGGCCAGGUGUGGUUGGCACCCCCACCUGCGCCAUGUACCACUAUAAUCAAUUUAACAGGAU